rnacentral:lncRNA from 1 species
CCGUAGUUCACUUCAUGUCGAACUCUAGCUUGUGACUCUUCUGAGAUAUUGAAAGUGCAGCAAUCUUAACACAAUCGAAACUAACAAAGAAACUCGUAACAAAUCUAGCCAAUCGUUAUAUUAAAGAAAUGAGCCAUUAGCGAAAAGAUUGGCUUGCUUCAGUGGAUUUUAAAGAUCGAGGGUCUUUUGUGUCGAAAGUUUGAAUACAAAUUCUUUGUCUUUGCAAAUAACAGGUAUGUUGACCUUUGAUCAAAUUUUCAUAUAUUUCAAACUUUGCUUGAAAUUAUUCUCAUACUUUGAGCAGAACUUGUUAUUUAUUGUAGCGUCUUAUGCACGACCUAAAUUCUUACUUAUGUUACUCAUUGGCUGUAAAAUUAGAACAUUUCUAAACUAUGAUCUCAUCGGUGAAAUGCAACCUGAUAUAUUUAUUAAACAUUCUUGCAUUCCAUCGAGCAAUUACUGGUUGCAUAAUGUGACAAUGUAACAAAUUAUAGAUCCACGACAGUAUGUAUAUUUCAUACAUUUUGAUAAAUGCUUAAAUUCUAACUCGUGAUUUCGAAAUAUAAUGUAUUUAAAUGGUGAGAUUUGUGCCAAUGCUCAUGAAAUAUUGAUCAAAUACCAUUAUUUAUACGCUGACAAAGUAAUUUCUACGGGUGGUCCACUUUGUUGCACUUUCGAAUAUAAACAAACGAUUUAGCGCCGUUUGAAUAAAGUUUGCACAAUCACAUGAGUAAAUUUUGUGCAAAAUUUCGAAAUUGCGUGUCGCAAAUAAUAUUCCGUUGCUAUUACAUCACAUUUGAUAAUAUCAAGGUGACCAAAUUUGUAUAAUGUUUUGUCUAGAAUUUUAAAAUUUCAUACUACAAAUUUUUGUGGUUUUACAGUAUGAAAUUAUAUUGUAUUAUCAGUCUAGCACGGGAGUAGUCGAAUGUAUUCGUGCACUGAUUUUAUAUAAUGGUAAUAAAAACUAAAUCGUAGGCCCGUCAGAUCUACGUAAUUUCUGCAACUUGCCCAUUGUACUAAGGAAAAAAUAUCCGAGGCGUGUCGACACUAUAUUCUAUAAUCAGAUAUCGCAACCGCAGUAAAAAAUAGGCGGUGAGAAUUUUCAACUUUUUUAGCAUUACUAUUUACAAAUAGCUCUCGGAAUGAUUUGAGAAAAGCGAUCCAGCUUACAACAGUACAAUUGAUGAAAGAAAUGCACUUACAGACAGUUAUUUUCAAAGUUACCUGUAAAAUUGUAAAUAUUAGCUCGUGUUUCCGCGAGCUGUGCAAAAACCCGUUAUAGUAUUAACUCCGUCGAGCUUUCCUGCUGGGACUUUCCGCUGGAGAUCUUUUGAAUUUUAAAAUUUUUAGCCAUCAAACAAUUAAUUGCGUGUAUCCAUUUUCGAUGGGGGGAAAAUACCGAAAUAUUUCAGAUUGGAUUGGGUAAUUCUAUAAGCUGUUUCCACUUGUAACUAUGUUUGCAAAUAGACGUGGUGUUUUUCCACAAAAAUAAGCCAAUUAUUUUUGUUUUCAUGCAAACCACAAGGAACUUAAACUCGUGCAUUAUUUUGGCAUGGGCAGGACACUGAUUUUGGCUGCACACGCGCGGUUUCUUAAAAGGACGUGUUACAACGUGUUGUAGCAAUGAUUGCAACAUACUGUAGACGCAUAAAUUGCGGGCAGGCCGACGCGAUAUUCCUUUGCAACACCAUGCGAUGAUAUUGGCAUGAAACUUAUUACAAUUCUAUAUUACAUAAUCAUGUAAGAAAGCUUUGGAUUAAUAGGGAUGCAAGUGCCUGCAAGUACAUGAGGAGAACCGGCUUACUGUUCGCGACGAAGGGUCGAAAUUCUCACUUGUAUUCUUCAGGUAUUUGCAUUCCUUAUCAACCGAAACUUUCUAUAAAUGAAUUUGAGCUUUCCGUAUGUACCUGAGCACUAGUCGCUUCCGGUCCUUCCUUUUUGCCGCGGCUAUUUAUAAUAUUUUUUUAAUUUCAAUUCCUUCAACUAUAUUUUCUCCUUGCCUACAAAUUUACUUGCCAAUGUCAAAGUCCAUGAUGCUAUAAAAGUUCUCGGAGAGGAAUGCGUUAUUUAAAGUAGUAGGGGAAUUCUCGGAAAAGAUAGCCUAUUCAAAAGACAACAACAGUCAAAAUACCACGAAUGUUUUGUUGACAUUUCGUUGAAAUUUUAGGCCACGUUUAUACUGGAUAGCUCUCCGUAGCGGCGCGAAAGAUUGCUGCUUGGUUCUUGCAUUUUGGCACGUUUGUGAAACAUUCGCAAAAUCUGGAAAAUACCACGGGCUUUUGGUUACGGUGAAAUUGGUACAUCAUAAGAUACAUUUCAUUGUUCUGCCCCAAAUGUUCGAUCGGGUCAUAACAUCUGCAAUUCCUAAAAUAUUAACUAAAUGCACUCGAUAAUUUCGCAAACUGUUGACAUUUUCACCUAAUUAUUUCAUUUGUGAAAUGUCAUUUGACCCCGCGAUUCUAUCCGAAAGCACGUGCAAUAUAUGUUUACGAGAAUUCCCUUCGUCCCAACCCCCAAAGGAUCAUGGUGUUUUCUUGUUGAGUAUUUUGUCAAGUGGAAGUCAUGCUCUGUGGCUGCUUGCUCGUACAACAAUCCAUCGUGUAAGUCCUCAAUCUUUCUUAUUUCAAAAAAUCUACAAACUUUAUUCUAUUCUGUGAUAUUUAAACUCUAGGAAACCGGUUUCAUUUCACGCGAAAUCGGCGAGGAAGUACGAUAAAAUCGAGUAGAUACCGCGGCUCUUUGUCACACCCUCGGUUCGAUUUGUAGAGCACGCACGUAUUAAACCGCGUUGUCUUGUGUGUUGUUUUUUAGCUGCCUUCGAUGAGUUUUGUAUGUGUACUUGGUAUGCACGAAGUUGGCUGGGAGACUGAUAGAUACACUGUCGUCGAAAAGAAUGCAAAACUGGCUAAAGCAACGAAAGAAACUUCCUCGAACGUGACGGCGAAUGGCUACGACUUAUCGAACGCAAACGGCGUCAAUGGCGAGGUAGGUAGCUACCUAUUCGAACGGCAAGGUGUCGCUACAAGCUUCACGAAAAGCGUUACGAUGGACGAGAAUACUUUCGCUGGCAAACAUUGGGCUGUAAACGACAAAUCUGAAACCGUAAGUUUGUAUUUUCAUAGUAUAAAGAUGCCCCAUAUUUAUGCACGAGUAUUUAUUGUUGUGGAAUCGAUUUACUCGAGUGAUCCUUUGAUCGCUUCGAAAUAUGUCGCUAGAAAGCUACUUUUGAAUGAACACAUUAUUCCUAGGAAGCAUUUCCUCAAAGUUGUGAUAAAAACCUAACAAAACAGAGUGUUUAUUCCAAGAGAAAUCUCUAUAGAAGUCCGCAUUGUACGAAUAUAUUCUAAGCAUGUGAAGUUUACAUAAUAUAAAUUUAAGCGUCUUUCAAAACUAUUUAAAUUCGGUCAAAAACUAAGCCUAUUCGUUACGUAUUUGUUUGUUAUGUGAAAGAAGAAAAGCGAAAUAACGAAAUAUAAAUUUGUCGGAAAAAUUGAAAGUAUUUUGAGCGUAUAUUUUUGUGUGCUCGCGGUUUUGUUUUCAUUUCAUCGCCUAAUGAUUGAAAAUAUGCAUGGAUUUCGAAUUAGCCAUGUAUUUAAAUGGUUUUUGAAUUGAAAUCGUGGCAAUUACGGCCUCGAUUUGCCAUGUGACAAAUGGUGUAACGGUCUAAAAAUAUUUCGUAUUUUAUAAGUCAUCAAAUGCUUGAAAAGUAUUCAGAUUUUAAUGAACAGUUUGAUAUUGCUGAUUUGCUGGUAUUUUGAAGUUCGCAUUUAAAAAAAAUUUUAAGUAUGGCAAAUGGAAUUUUUCCAAAAUACGAGCUUAAUGCUAGACCGUACAUCGUGUUUCUUACUAAUGUGGGCUAAUGAUGUUUGGGUGUGAUUGUGGUAUCGUUCCGCUUCAUUAGCCAAAACACAGACUUGCAGAAGCGCUCAUAUUAUGAAUAUUAAUGGCCUGUUUAUUUGAUCCCGGCAGGAUCUAGGAACGUUUUCACCCGGCUGGCUGGCUAGCGGGAAAUGCACCCAGGUGGGAUUGGCAUGUUUAGAUGGACCAAAACAUUCCUGGGAUAAAGCCAUCUAAGGGGUAUAUGUGUGGAGACGAGCCAGCCCAGAUACCUGAGCUAGCUCGCGAGACUCUUGAGAUGGACUGGCUCUCCAAAACAAACCACCGGCUCUCACCGCUGUAACACUCAGCUAGCCGGGGUCAUUGCAUUUUUAUGCGGUCACAUUCCCAUCACCCAAGAUCACGGCUCCCUUCGAGGCAGGCCAGCUCAGUUCCCAUAUAAAGUCAAAAUAAAAUUUAAACCAGGCGAGCUCAGGUACCCUGGCUGGCUUGCCCCGUACAAACAGCCCCUAGGUGCUUGACAUAUUUUUGUAGCUGAUGGUGGUUGGUGUUUCAGAGCAGACACUUUUCGCUCAUGGGUUCGAUCCUCAUGGCACAGCCAUAACGUUUAUGUGCAAAGAGUCAAACCAUCUACAUCCAAUUCUAUCGAAAUAUUAUAAGAUGCCCAAAACCCUGGUAUACAUAACCUAAUUGUAACAUUUUGUAGACAAACAACAAUGUAUCUGAUCUGGAAGAAAAUUUUCAAGGAAUAAAUAUCAAUGAUGAAAAAGAGCAAAAAUCCAAUAUGCAAGAG